rnacentral:rRNA from 1 species
AGAGUUUGAUCAUGGCUCAGAACGAACGCUGGCGGCAGGCCUAACACAUGCAAGUCGAACGAGAAGCCACCUUCGGGUGGUGGACAGUGGCAGACGGGUGAGUAACGCGUGGGAACGUGCCUUUCGGUUCGGGAUAACCCAGGGAAACUUGGGCUAAUACCGGAUACGCCCUUCGGGGGAAAGAUUCAUCGCCGAAAGAUCGGCCCGCGUCGGAUUAGCUUGUUGGUGGGGUAAUGGCCUACCAAGGCGACGAUCCGUAGCUGGUCUGAGAGGAUGACCAGCCACACUGGGACUGAGACACGGCCCAGACUCCUACGGGAGGCAGCAGUGGGGAAUAUUGGACAAUGGGCGCAAGCCUGAUCCAGCCAUGCCGCGUGGGUGAAGAAGGCCUUAGGGUUGUAAACCCCUUUCAGCGGGGAAGAUAAUGACGGUACCCGCAGAAGAAGCCCCGGCUAACUCCGUGCCAGCAGCCGCGGUAAUACGGAGGGGGCUAGCGUUGUUCGGAAUUACUGGGCGUAAAGCGCGCGUAGGCGGGCCUGCAAGUCAGGGGUGAAAUCCCGAGGCUCAACCUCGGAACUGCCUUUGAUACUGCGGGUCUCGAGUCCGGGAGAGGUGAGUGGAAUUCCUAGUGUAGAGGUGAAAUUCGUAGAUAUUAGGAAGAACACCAGUGGCGAAGGCGGCUCACUGGCCCGGUACUGACGCUGAGGCGCGAAAGCGUGGGGAGCAAACAGGAUUAGAUACCCUAGUAGUCC